rnacentral:rRNA from 1 species
UGAGGAAUUUUGCGCAAUGGGCGCAAUCCUGACGCAGCAACGCCGCGUGGGUGAUGAAGGCCUUCGGGUCGUAAAGCCCUGUCAGGUGGGAAGAAUGUCCCGGGACUGAACAGGUUCCGGGAGUGACGGUACCACCAGAGGAAGCACCGGCUAACUCCGUGCCAGCAGCCGCGGUAAUACGGAGGGUGCGAGCGUUAUUCGGAAUUACUGGGCGUAAAGCGCGCGUAGGCGGUCCCGCAAGUCUGAUGUGAAAGCCCCGGGCUUAACCCGGGAAGUGCAUUGGAAACUGGGGGACUUGAGUACUGGAGAGGAGGGGGGAAUUCCCGGUGUAGAGGUGAAAUUCGUAGAGAUCGGGAGGAAUAUCAGUGGCGAUGGCGCCCAUCUGGACGGUAACUGACGCUGAGACGCGAAAGCGUGGGGAGCAAACA